CAAAAACAUAGCUAUAUGAAGUAGAUAUAGUUUUUUCUGCUCAAUGAGACAUUUAAUAGCCGCAGUACCCUGACUGUGCUAAGGUAGCAAAAUCAAUUGUCUUCUAAUUAAAGUCGUGUAUGAACGAAUAUAUGGGGGCUAGCUUUACCAAGUAUAAUAUACAAACUUACUAAUUGAGUGUAAAUUCUCAAAUAAUUAAAAUAGACGAGAAGACCCUAGAAAUUUUUUAAAAUUUUUUUGUUGGGGCAACAUAGUAGCAAUUAACCUACUUUAAAUAUAUGAAAUUCUUUUGACAAGUUAAAUUACUCUAGGGAUAACAGCAUCAUAUUUAAAAUGUUUGUGACCUCGAUGUUGGAUUAGGAAGUUGUGGUUUAGACGAUUAACAAUUAUGCUCUGUUCG
rnacentral:rRNA from 1 species